rnacentral:rRNA from 1 species
GGCAUGGUUGUCGUCAGCUCGUGUCGUGAGAUGUUGGGUUAAGUCCCGCAACGAGCGCAACCCCUGUGGUUAGUUGCCAGCAAGUAGCGUUGGGCACUCUAGCCAGACUGCCGGUGAUAAAUCGGAGGAAGGUGGGGACGACGUCAAAUCAUCAUGCCCUUUAUGUCCUGGGCUACACACGUACUACAAUGGCCGUUACAACGGGAAGCGAAGGAGCAAUCCGGAGCAAAUCCCUUAAAGGCGGUCCCAGUUCAGAUUGUGGGCUGAAACUCGCCCACAUGAAGGCGGAAUUGCUAGUAAUUGCAGAUCAGCAUGCUGCAGUGAAUACCGUUCCCGGGCCUU